CAAGUGGCUGGCUGACUGAAGAGAGGGUCGAGCUGAGGGCACAGCUGGCUCAACAAUCAGCUUCUGAUUGACGUCUGACUGAAAAGAAUGUCAAGCCGAGGGCACAGCUGCCUCUACAAUCAGGAACCAUAAGGAAGAAUCUUUCUAAGCGGGAUGCCACUGACGAGGCUGUCCAGAACCAGGUCCCCAGGUACCAGAAAGGGGCAGCUGACUGUGCAGGUGGGAGAUGUCGCGGCGGUACAAGGGACCUGCCGUGAAUAUGAAUGACAUCUCCAGCACAACCAAUAUUGCUGCUAAGCUGCACUACUG
ensembl:lncRNA